rnacentral:rRNA from 1 species
AUGAACGCUAGCUACAGGCUUAACACAUGCCCGUCGAGGGGCAGCAUGGCCUAUCUUUCGGGAUAGGCUGAUGGCGACCGGCGCACGGGUGAGUAACGCGUAUCCAACCUUCCCUUUACUGGGGUUCAGCCCGUCGAAAGGCGGAUUAAUCCCCCAUGUUCUCCGUCCCGGACAUCUGUGUCGGAGCAAAGAUUUAUCGGUAAAGGAUGGGGAUGCGUCCGAUUAGCUUGUUGGCGGGGUAACGGCCCACCAAGGCAUCGAUCGGUAGGGGUUCUGAGAGGAAGGUCCCCCACACUGGAACUGAGACACGGUCCAGACUCCUACGGGAGGCAGCAGUGAGGAAUAUUGGUCAAUGGCCGCAAGGCUGAACCAGCCAAGUAGCGUGAGGGAAGACUGCCCUAUGGGUUGUAAACCUCUUUUAUGCGGGGAUAAAGGCGUCCCACGUGUGGAUGUUUGCAGGUACCGCAUGAAUAAAGACCGGUUAAUUCCGUGCCCGCAGCCGCGGUAAUACGGAAAGGUCCGGGCGUUAUCCCGGUUUUAUUGGGUUAAAAGGGAGCGUAGGCCGGUCUUUAAACCGUGCCGUUGAAAUUUUGUGGCUCAACCAUGAGAGUGGGGCGCGAACUGGAGCCCUUGAGUGCGCGGAAGGCAGGCGGAAUUCGUGGUGUAGCGGUGAAAUGCUUAGAUAUCACGAAGAACCCCGAUUGCGAAGGCAGCCUGCCGCAGCGUUACUGACGCUGAAGCUCGAAAGCGCGGGUAUCGAACAGGAUUAGAUACCCUGGUAGUCCGCGCGGUAAACGAUGGAUGCCCGCUGUCGGCGAUAUACAGUCGGCGGCCAAGCGAAAGCGUUAAGCAUCCCACCUGGGGAGUACGCCGGCAACGGUGAAACUCAAAGGAAUUGACGGGGGCCCGCACAAGCGGAGGAACAUGUGGUUUAAUUCGAUGAUACGCGAGGAACCUUACCCGGGCUUGAAUUGCAGAGGAAAGAUCCAGAGAUGGUGAUGCCCUUCGGGGUCUCUGUGAAGGUGCUGCAUGGUUGUCGUCAGCUCGUGCCGUGAGGUGUCGGCUUAAGUGCCAUAACGAGCGCAACCCCUUUCCCUAGUUGCCAUCGGUUUUGGCCGGGCACUCUGGGGACACUGCCUCCGCAAGGAGUGAGGAAGGUGGGGAUGACGUCAAAUCAGCACGGCCCUUACGUCCGGGGCUACACACGUGUUACAAUGGGUGAUACAGAGGGCCGGCCGCUGGCAACAUCGGUCCAAUCCUUAAAGUCAUCCUCAGUUCGGACUGGGGUCUGCAACCCGACCCCACGAAGCUGGAUUCAAUAGUAAUCGCGCAUCAGCCAUGGCGCGGUGAAU